UACGAAGGGGCUACGCGUUGUUCGGAAUUACUGGGCGUAAAGCGCGCGCAGGCGGUCCUUUAAGUCAGGGGUGAAAGCCCAGAGCUCAACUCUGGAACUGACCUUUGAAACUAGAGGACUUGGGUACGGGAGGAGGUGAGUGGAAUUCCGAGUGUAGAGGUGAAAUUCGUAGAUAUUCGCAAGAACACCAGUGGCGAAGGCGGCUCACUGGCCCGAUAACUGACGCUGAGGCACGAAAGCGAU
rnacentral:rRNA from 1 species